CGGGGGCCGGACGGGAGCGCGGCGGCGGCAGCUGAGGCCCAGGCCAGGCCCCCUCCCUUCAGCCUCCCGCCUGCCCGUCUGCCCCGCCCCCGCCGGCGGCGCCGCGCCCCUCCCCCAAGCGCCAGACUAGCGCGGUGCGGGCGCCGCGUGCGAAGACAUGGGGGGGAAGCUGGAGCUGAGGCUGGAGUCGCUCGUGGGGACCGAGCCCGCCGUCUACCCGUGGCCGCUGCUGGUCUACCCAAGCCAAAGUUCUUUCUUCGAAGAAUCAGAUUUUUUGACUGAUGGUGAAGCAGAUGGAUCACAAAAUUAGGAGGUAGGACAACUGGAUAUUUCUGAUUACAACUCUUUUACAGAUUUGUUUGCUUGAGUAUGGUUUUUUGCUUCUUAUUUGAGCUAGAGUUUCCUCAUCACUAGAAUGAAGGUUUUCAUUAAAUAUUUCUGAGUGUUCUUUUGAGCAUCAUGUGAAUUUGUGAUCCUGUCUAACUUGUUGCAGAAAAAAUUUAAAUGUAUAUAAUCUUAGCAGUAUUUAUACUAGUUAUAAAUUCAAACAAAGUAGGGAUUUUAAACGCUGAAUUAUCCUGAUUUUAUGCCAUGCUGCCACUAAUAAACAAACAGCAAGUUCCCUGAUAGUGAUUCUCUAUUAUGGGAUAUUGAUAUAUUUUGGGAUUUGGAGGUUGGAUUGACCUCCCCCUGUUUACAAGACACAACUUUCUGAUUUGCCACCUGCUACGUCCUAUUCAUCUUUUUGUAAGACUUUUUAAACAUUCAGCAAAACCCUCAUGGUACAGAAUUUCCCCCAAGUGGCCCACAUUUGAACAGUAGAAUUCAACUGAGACUUGAAGAUGGGCCACACGCAGCACACCCUGCUGACAUGUUCCUCUACCCACGUCCCUCCUUUUCUCACUGCCUGGUAAUUGAAGUGUAUUUUUGUCAGUGGUGUCAAAGCCUGUCUCCUAGGCUGUCUUAUUAUUUUUAAAUCCCCGACAAGUCCACCACAGUGAUCCAGCUCCUUGCACAUUAUAGGUGCUCAAGAUCUAUUGGCCAAGCCAACACGUCUCUCUCAGUUUCUCUAGACUUGCAGGUCCUUAACUGUGGACCCUAGGGUGACUGGGAGACACAGCAGCUGGCCUGGAAGAAACUGUGCAUAAACCACAGAUUUUUACUUAUGCAGCUUUGUGCAUUAAUUCUGGAUAAGCACAUGAUAGAAUGUCAUAUGUGUGAAUUUUAUUUUUCAGGUGUAGUGAUGGUGGGAAAGAGGCUGGCAAUAGCUAUUGUAGACCACACUGCAUUAUAAAAAAAUCUGAUAAAUCCAAGCAAUUCAAUUCAAAAUGGUCAAUUAAGGGGAAAAAUGCAGUCAUUUAACUUGAUAAUUCUACAUGAUACAUUAAGUCUCUCACAGACUCCACCACAAUGAAAGCGAAAAGAGUUGAAUGAAGGUAGAGGAAGAUUUUCUUUAAGGUCCACUACUUGAUUUCUUUUAGCUCCUAAAUAUGUGGGAAGCAGUAAAGCAUGGUGCUCAGGCCAUUGUACUCACCUGAUCUUGGAGUUGGGCAGUGUAAUUUGUGCACUGGCUGAACAGAUGGAUAACUAAUCAUAGGCAAAUUCUUAACUUUUCUCUUCCUCAGUGUCUUCAUCUGUAAAAUGGGGAUAUUAUUGGUACUUACUUCUUAAGAGCUUUGUGAGGAUUAACUACACUAAUCCAUGGACAAGAGACAUGUUGUCUACAUAACAGGUGCCCAAUAAGUUACAGUGACUGUGUUGAGUUUUUGAUACUGCCCAUGACAACAAUGAUGGCAUAUGUCUAUUUUUAUCAUUAUAGUGUGAUUACACGUCAUAUAUGUUGUAUCUCCUUGUUCUGAGAUUAACAUAGCCUCUUUUAGAAACCACCAAAAGGCUCAACAGUAUUGGUGAGAAACAUCUGUGAGCAACAAACAUUCAGACACAAACAUUCAAUUAAGACGACCGCUUCCAGAAGCAGUCUCUGAAGCAUGUCUGAUCUAGAAGGGAUGCCCCCAUGCACUUCCUGCUGGGAGAGAAUCUUCUAUUGUUGCCAGUCAGGAUCAUUCCCUGUUGGUUUAAAUUAACCUGAAAGAGCCUCAGCAGUUCAGGUAUGUUUAGCUCAACAUCGCAGAUUGUUUAUACCUGUGAUGCAGGCACGUCAAAAGAAAACAACCACUGAGCCACUGGCUUAGGGUUUCCAGCUGAAGCUACAGCGGUUCUUUUCUGUAAGCACAGGAAAUCAGCCAAGCUCAGUUUGCUUAAGACAUUCAGGUAAACCGUUUGCUUUGUCAGAGCGCUCUCCCAGGAACGACCAAGAUAUUCCGAAUCAUUUACUUCUUUCCCAUUUGCCAUUCUUUUCAUGAGGUGGAUUCCCCAAUCGUAAACACAAAGAAAGUGUUUAAUCAGAAGCAGCCAGAAGUGAUUGGUGAUAACUGGGAUUUAAUGGCUCAAUCUCAAAUCUAGUUUCAGUUGUGUUUCACCAGAGAUUUUUUCAGAUUCUUGCUAUGAGAGUUUGGCAGAAGACAAUAAAAAUCAUGAUUUCCUCACUUUUUUCUGAUGUUUUGCUAUGGCGCUAAGUAAUAUGUUCAGUAUUCCCCUGGAAAUAUAUAAAGCACUUGACGUGGUGUGUUCAUCACUUGCCUCUGACUAAAAUGUCCAAAUGACUGAGAAUUAAUGAAAAUCAUUACGGAUAGGAGCAAAGGAUGUGUACCAAGAUGUUCACUAAAGCACUGUCUACAAUUGUGAAAAUGAAAACAUAUAUUAUAAACUGUAUAACAAUAGGCAUGAAGUAUUUACUACUACAUGGACUACUAUGAAACCAUUAAAAUAAUGAUGUAGAAACAAAAAAAUGUGAAAAAUGGGUUUUAAAAUUAAACAAUAACACACUAAUAUUAGAUUAUUUAGUUAUUAUUCUGGCUCCAACCAGAAGAAAAACAAACAGUAAUUUGAGCAUGGAAAGUGUAAUGAAAAAACUAUUAAUUAUGAAAGACGAUUAGAGUAAGGAAGGAAUGGCCAGCGACAAGUAAAGAGAACGCCAAAACACACAGUUAGCAGAAAUAAGGAGAGCCGCUAACCCUCCAGUUGAAAAGAAGACCUCCUCCUCCCUGCCCACAGGACUGAGGUCCAGACCCGGUUGAAAAGAGCAUGACUGUGGCUCACUGGAUGGUAAAGAAGCUGCUGUGGUGUCUCCUGGUGGAACUUUCUGGAAAUAUGCCCUCUGUAAGUUGCUGGAAAUCCACAUUCUAGGGUUCCAGUAAAACUAUGCACGGGGAGAUUUCUCACCUGAGGCGCUACUCCAAAACUGCUUGAUAGAAGAUGCUGACGGAAGCUGUCGUCCACUGCUCUCUCUGCGCACUGCUGAAGCCGACUACCGGAGAAGUUGUGAGCCCCGGGAGCAGAGCUGAGGACGCCCUCGGAGCUGCAGGAGUGAGUGGGUGCUGAAGACGCCACCAAGAGCCUUCCCAGCAAGCACCGGGGCAUCACGAAGCAACACCUUCCUCAGGUGCCAUCAAUUAGGAAAGCCUAACAUCACACGAGCUGGCCAAGGAAAAACUAUUUAAAGGACCCAUAGCACUUUUCACAGAGCAAGUAACAAAAGGUGAAUUUCGAGCUGAGAGGCGGUAACCAAUGUUACCUCAAGAAAAAUUAAAUUAAAACGGAGUUUUCUUUUUUUUUUUUUUUUUGCGGUACACGGGCCUCUCACUGUUGUGGCCUCUCCCGUUGCGGAGCACAGGCUCCGGACGCGCAGGCUCAGCGGCCAUGGCUCACGGGCCCAGCCGCUCCACGGCAUGUGGGAUCUUCCCGGACCGGGGCACGAAUCCGCGUCCCCUGCAUCAGCAGGCAGACUCUCAACCACUGCGCCACCAGGGAAGCCCUAAAAAGUUUUUAUCACAUAAUCAGUGAAAUGCAAAUUCAAGCAAUAAGAUGCCAUUUUUGACUAAAAAACAAACUGACACAAAGAGUAUAUAAUAUUAAAACGUUAACAAUGGCUCUCUUUGGGUGGGAAAUUACCAGUGAAUUUCUCAUUUUUCUUGGAGCAUUGCCAUAUUCCUACAAUAUAAAUGUACACAGAUUUCCAAUGCACAAAAAUAAAAUACAAUUAUCAACUCAGCUACCCAAUAAACUUAAUAUUCACUCAAUAACUUUUACUCUGUAUUUAAUUACAGCAUAAAAUGUAAGAACAAAUGCAAUAUGGAUGCUGCAUAUUAAAGGGACUCGAUCAGUCUUACUCAUUUUGUGGAAUCAAGGAAAGGACCAUUCAAGCGUUUCCAUGAGUUUCUCUUCCAUUCUACCUAAAACUCCCUCUUGCUGGAGGAAUUCUGUCGAUCAAAUUCUAGUUAUCCAAAUCAACACAUUUAAUAUAUCUUACAGGGGUAUUAGUGCUUUGUGUGUGUGGGGGGAGGGGUGGUGGGUACAGGUGAAAUAAGUUUAGGAAAUGAUCAAUGUACCAAAGGUGAACAGGUUUACAUAUUGCUGUUUCUAUCUGUACAUACCACACAGGUUUGUACAGAACUGCAAUAGUGUUUGGAUCUAGCUAGAGCCUGGAUAUGAUUCUGCUUUACCAACCCAACAAGGAACUUCUUCUGUGCACAUGAUUGAAUCAAGGUGAAUGAACAUGUUUGGGGGAAGUUUUAAAGGCUUACACAAAGAACUACAGCUCUGUCAAGUGAUGUAAUAUAAUUAUAAAAGUUCUUUUAAAAAAAUUUACUGUUGCCUUUCAGUCUACCUUCCUGUAUUUUACUACACUCUACCUUAUUUUAAAUGUGAUUUAAGGAAAUGUUUUGCUCCAUACUUUCUUAGUCUAUCCCUCCCUUUCUUCCUCUUUGCCUUAUAAAAGAAUAAAUAUAUAAUCGAGCCAAAAAAAAAAA